CUGACCUCGCUGCUGCUGUGCCUGCUCGUGCCGGGCCACAACGUUAUCCUCGCGGGUGUGGCCAGAGCUGUGCAGCACAGAGGCCGGCCACUUCCCACCCACCCACCCACGUAUUAGCGCCUCCUCCCUCCCGCGCGCGCGUGCGGGAGCUGCUGCGACCAGGACCAGCAGGAGAGCAUGGAGCCGAGGCCGCCCUGCCACCGCCUUCGCCGCGCCCUCUAGCCAGCCAGCCGGCCGGCCGGCCGACCCAGCCCUGUCGGUUCCCCGCCAUGGCAGCCACCGUCCUCGUCCCGCCGGCGCACUGCCACCGCGCCACGGCGGCGGCGGCGACGAGCGCCGCCAUCUCGCAUUGUGCCCUCCCUCCCGCGCGCCGGCGCCGGGGAUCGCGCGCCGUGAGGGCGGCGGCGGCUCCCGAGCAGAGCCAGAGCGGCGUGUCCCUCGCGGGAGCCUCCGGCUCCGGGCACGGGAGCGCGGGCGACGACGCCAAGGCCGCGCUGCGCCGAGCCCUGGAAGGCGCGGACAGAGGGAUAUUCGGGAUGACGUCCGUCCGGCGGUCGGAGGUCCACCGCCUGGUGGAGCUGCUCGAGGCCCGAAACCCCACGCCGGAGCCCACCGCCGAGCUGCGGGAGAAGGUGGACGGGUGCUGGAAGCUCAUCUACAGCACCAUCUCCAUCCUGGGGAAGAAGAGGACCAAGCUGGGGCUCAGGGAUUUCAUCAGCCUAGGGGACUUCCUCCAGAUAAUUGACGUCAAAGAGGUCAGUCAAGGCUACCUGCAGUGGAAUCGUCGUGCUGACGGCUCUGUAAUUAUGUGUAGCAUCCGUGACGUGCUACUCUGUUCGGACCAUCCUGAUUGGCUGUGGGUUGCCAUUUGAUCAGCUCAACUUUUAUACUCCACCCCUUUUAAAAUAUGUGACAUCUUCGUAGUAUAUUAAAAAGCGGAGGGAGUGCCUUGAUUGGGUAGCUUUUUUAAUAUUUAAAUAUAGUAGCAUAGAUCCUGCACACUGUGACACUGCAUUGCAUAUCCGAGCAUUUGGAAUAGAUAGUAACGUUCCAACAUCCAAAUAAUUGUAUCUUAACCGGGAGUUACCUAGACUAUGCAAAUUGCAUUUGGGUUAUUCAUGGAGGUUCUAAUUGCAAACCAAGUAAGUUUUGAUUUUUGCCAUCGCUUGAAAUAAAUGGAGAUUUAGCGUCACUUCUCUACACCCAAAAGGAAAAGGCGGUGAAUGUGAUCAAAUUCAGCGCGAGAGCAUUUAAGAUAUUGUCGGGGAAGCUCACCGUCGAAGCUUCGUACAGUGUCACUAGUAAAACGAGAGUGGAUAUCAAACUUGAGAGUUCAACUAUCACCCCAGAACAGCUAAUGAAUAUAUUUCAGAAGAACUACGACAUGCUCCUGGCCAUAUUCAACCCAGAGGGUUGGCUAGAGAUAACAUAUGUCGACGAAACCUUGCGGAUCGGAAGAGACGACAAGGAAAACAUCUUUGUUCUAGAGAGAGCAGAUCCAUCAGAGGUUUAACAAACCAGCGACGCUUAUUCGUAACUUUCUUACAAGGAGCAUGGCACUUCCUAGAAGAUUAUUGCCUGCAUAUCCUACGGCUGCACACACACACACACACACACUGACACACACAUGGUUCUUGCCGAAUUUUGAUGAGAAUAGAACAGCAUAUCCGUGCUCUGAAAAGGAUUUGUGCAAGCUGGGCAUCUUCUAUGUUCCUUCACAUAGAGACUCGCGAAAUGGUCAACCUUAUAGGAGGCAGAGACAGUACAGCUGCUGGAUAAAUUGUUUCCUCUUCUUUGUCAAUCUUACACCCGUGUCCAAGUAUUCUUCCUUGUAACAUCGCAGAAAAAAAAAAUUAGAACCAUUCUUCCUUGCAAGACACAAUCCAAUGAGUGCACAGCUCGAAAAAACACAUAUUAAUCAAGUACGUUUUUUGAUACCAUUGUCGUUCAUGUCCUCUUUGAAGUGAGCUCUGGUCAGAGACCCCUAGAACUUGAUGUUUCUUGUUGUUCCUGCCUUGCUACAUUUGCAUAAAGAAUGGCAAAUCCAAUCUCCUGAGCCAGAAGCCCAGAGAACAGGUGGAUGCGAAAUGAAGCACCAGCAAGGAGGCUGCACAAAAACAGAGAGCUGCCUGAUCUGGUGACAGAAAUUGCAAGACCGGGGCCACGUACAGAGUGACGCGCCGGGACGUCCAGCGGCGCAGCACUGACGUCGCCAGGCCCGUCACCUAUGUAUCACCGAUACGCGAUACGGGUACGGCGAUACGUGAGUUUAAAAAACGACAUAGUGGUAGAAUAGAGAGAGUAUCGAAGUAUCGGAUACGCAAAUAUUGGAUACGGGUACGGCUGGGUUAGUGAAGUAUCGGUGAUUCAUAGCCCGUCACCGGCCGUCACCCAUCGGUUCCCGCGACAUGCCGUGGCGCGCCAAGGCGGCAGCACCGAUGAGAAACUAAAAAACCAGCGAAGCAUGGGCAUGGCGCCUAACGCCGCAGCUGGGAAUGGGAUCUCGCUCCUACGACUAUAUUUAGACUAGAGCACGCGCAUGCGAUCCGUCUGCUGAUUGCUCGGGUCGUGCUGUUGAUUGAACGAAGGCAGGAAGCACCAGUGUGCUCCAGCUCCAGCCGGCCGGCCGGCCGGCCGGCCCGCGGGCGCCCGCGGCAUGGGGAGCGGCGGCGGGGUGGUGGGCGGCACGAAGCCGGCGGUGGCGAUGGUGGCGGUGGAGUUCGUCUUCUCGGCGCUGCAGAUCUUCAUCAAGCUCGCGCUGGACGACGGCAUGGACGUGCGCGUCCUCGUCGCGUACCGCCUCAUGUUCGCCUCCGCCUUCCUCUGCCCGCUCGCCUUCCUCGUCGAGAGCUGGGGAUGGCUCGUCAUGCUCCUAUCUCUAUCUUGUUGCCACACCUGCAGAAUUGCCAUAAACCAGAACUUGCUAGUGCUUGCCAUGAAGCUGACCAACUCAACGACCAUCGUCACCGCUCUCAGCAACCUCACGCCCCAGUCCCCCUUCAUCGUUGCCAUCCUGACCAGGCAGGAGAUGGUGAAGCUCGGCAAGGCCAGCGGGCGGGCGAAGCUGGCGGGCACGCUGGUCGGCCUCAGCGGCGCGAUGGUGGUCACCUUCUACGGGGGGCCCGAGCUCGGGUUCACGCACCGGCUCGCGCGCGCGGUCGGGCUCCGGCGGCGCGGCGGCGACGUCGGCCGCCGCCCGCGCCGCGGGCUCGUUCCUCGCCGUCGCCAGCUGCUUCAGCUACGCCGUCUGGCUCUCCAUCCAGGCCCGGGUCGGGGAGGCCUUCCCGUGCCACUACUCCAUCGCCGCGCUGGUGUGCCUCGCCGGCGCCGCCCAGUCCGCGCUGCUCGCGCUCUGCUUCCACCGGGACGCGGCGCACUGGCGCCUCGGCCUCGGCGUCAGGCUCUACUCGUCGGCCUACGCGGGGAUCGUGGCGUCCAGGUUCGCGUUCCCGCUGAUGUCGUGGUGCCUGCGGGAGCGGGGCCCCCUGUACGUGGCCAUGUUCGGCCCGCUUAUCAUCGUCUUCGUCGCGGUGCUCAGCUCCGUCUUCCUCGACGAGACCCUGCACCUCGGGAUCGCGCUGGGCGCCGUCCUGAUCGUGGCCGGCCCGGGCUGUACAUGGUGCUCUGGGGCAAAGCCAGAGAAGCGCAGGAGAAAGCUGCGGGUGUUCUGCCCCAGGAUGAAGAACAGGGCGAGGAAUCUGCUGCCCAAGAUGAUGCUGCCAACGCCGAAACAAAAUGACGAGACUUGAUUGCGGCCGACCUACUGUAACUGUGCACACACACUGCUUAAAACCAAUCUGCCGACGGCACAGCAAGUGGCUGAUUACUCCGAUACUGGAAUUGGUUCUGCACCAUGUUCUUGCUGAAAGAGAGAAUAUCCCAGAAAAGCUGGUAGCCAGGUAUCACCAACUACGGGCCUCAAAAAUUUGGAAGAAGUGUUUGAAAUCUUAAAAGUUAUUUGAAACGGAUUUCAAAAAAAUUAGUGUCUGCCAGUAAAGCUGGCACGAUUGGUUACUAAUCCAUAUUUUGACAAAAAUGUCCGGAAUCUCA